GAAAGAACCUGGCAGGGGAGAUACCAUGAUCACAAAGGUGGUUUUCCCAGAGAGAGGCUUAUCCAUUGCACUCCGGAUGUGCUGACCCCUGUGAUUUCCCCAAAUGUGGGAAACUCGACUGCAUAAUUUGUGGUAGUGGGAGACUGCAUUGGCACUUUCCCU
ensembl:snRNA U1 U1 spliceosomal RNA